rnacentral:rRNA from 1 species
AUUGAACGCUGGCGGCAGGCCUAACACAUGCAAGUCGAGCGGAUGAAGGGAGCUUGCUCCUGGAUUCAGCGGCGGACGGGUGAGUAAUGCCUAGGAAUCUGCCUGGUAGUGGGGGAUAACGUCCGGAAACGGGCGCUAAUACCGCAUACGUCCUGAGGGUGAAAGUGGGGGGUCUUCGGACCUAACGCUAUCAGACGAGCCUAGGUAGGAUUAGCUAGUUGGUGGAGUAAAGGCCUACCAAGGCGACGUUCCGUAACUGGUCUGAGAGGAAGAUCAGUCACACUGGAACAGGGACGCGGUCCAGACUACUACGGGAGGCAGCAGUAGGGAAUAUUGGACAGUGAGCGAAAGUCUGAUCCAGCCAUGCCGCGGGUGUGAAGAAGGUCUUCGGAUUGUAAAGCACUCUAAGUUGGGAGGUAGUGCAGUAAGUUAAUACCUUACUGUUUUGACGUUACCGACAGGAUACACACCGGCUAACUUCGUG